rnacentral:misc_RNA from 1 species
GAUGAAGAACGUAGCGAAAUGCGAUAAGUAGUGUGAAUUGCAGAAUUCAGUGAAUCAUCGAAUCUUUGAACGCACAUUGCGCCCCUUGGUAUUCCAUGGGGCAUGCCUGUUCGAGCGUCAUUUGUACCUUCAAGCUCUGCUUGGUGUUGGGUGUUUGUCUCGCCUCUGCGUGUAGACUCGCCUCAAAACAAUUGGCAGCCGGCGUAUUGAUUUCGGAGCGCAGUACAUCUCGCGCUUUGCACUCAUAACGACGACGUCCAAAAGUACAUUUUUACACUCUUGACCUCGGAUCAGGUAGGGAUACCCGCUGAACUUAAGUAUAUCAAUAAGCGGAGGA